GUAUUUGCUUCAGGCUGGCGGCUGUCUGCAAGUGAGCACUGGCCUGUCUCCCAAGAUCUGUGAGAGCAAGGGAUAAUUUUUCAGGAUAGGUUGUAAAUCUUUGAUGAUGCACUGGAGAGGUUCCAGCUGGGGGCCGAAGGUGACAGCCAGUGGCGCUCCACCAUUUUCCCCGUUUGGCCUAUCCUGCAGUAGGUGACCUCUGGGUACUCUUCUGGCUCUGUCAAUCUGUUUUUUCACUUCAGCAGGUGGGUAUUGUAGUUUCAAGAAUGCUUGACAGAGAUCCCGUAGGUGUCCGUCUCUGUCCGAGGGACCGGAGAAAAUGCGGCUGUAUCCCAGAGCUUGGCUGUAGACAAUGGAUCGUGUGGUGUGUCCUGGAUGGAAGCUGGAGGCGUCUAGGUAAGUAUAGCGGUCAGUAGGUUUCCGGUAUAAGGUGGUGUUUAUGUGACCGUCGCUUAUUAGUACAGUAGUGUCCAGGAAAUGGACGACUUGUGUGGAUUGGUCUAGAUUGAAGUUGAGGUGGGAGGAAGUUUUUCUUCUCCUGCC